ensembl:lncRNA
AUUGAACCAUCAACCUUGCAAUUACUGUGUAAUCCUAUCUACCCAUUGAGCCACGGCCAAAUAUGAAUGGACCUUUGAGUUUGUGACAACUUUUCCACACUGCUGGGCUUCAGGCGGUGUCUUUUUUUUAUGAAGCUGGGGUACUUAUACGAGUUUGGAUACACAUUUUUUUUAUUUUUGUUAUGUUCUUCCCAAUACUCCAGGGGGUUCUCCACGUCCAAGGUUUGGUUCACCUUGGUUGGUCUCCUAGUUCUCAUGCAGGGCUCUAUAAUGCCUGAGCAUAGAUGAGUCAUCAACACAAGCCUCGAUUCGCGCUUCAUAAAAAUCGUCCUGGAUUACUCGACACAAGCUUCGAAGCCUCGACACGAACGUCACAUCACUAAUUUUCUCAUACUUUUUCUGUCUAGGCUGUUUUUAUUGAC